UGGCGGCGUGCCUAAUAMUGCAAGUUGAGCGCUGAAGGUUGGUACUUGUACCGACUGGAUGAGCAGCGAACGGGUGAGUAACGCGUGGGGAAUCUGCCUUUGAGCGGGGGACAACAUUUGGAAACGAAUGCUAAUACCGCAUAAAAACUUUAAACACAAGUUUUAAGUUUGAAAGAUGCAAUUGCAUCACUCAAAGAUGAUCCCGCGUUGUAUUAGCUAGUUGGUGAGGUAAAGGCUCACCAAGGCGAUGAUACAUAGCCGACCUGAGAGGGUGAUCGGCCACAUUGGGACUGAGACACGGCCCAAACUCCUACGGGAGGCAGCAGUAGGGAAUCUUCGGCAAUGGACGAAAGUCUGACCGAGCAACGCCGCGUGAGUGAAGAAGGUUUUCGGAUCGUAAAACUCUGUUGGUAGAGAAGAACGUUGGUGAGAGUGGAAAGCUCAUCAAGUGACGGUAACUACCCAGAARGGGACGGCUAACUACGUGCCAGCAGCCGCGGGUAAUACAAA
rnacentral:rRNA from 1 species